rnacentral:rRNA from 1 species
GCCUAACCGUAACAAAACAAUCAAACCACUAAUUGUUCACCAAAUAACUACGAGUAAAAACUUAAAAUUUAAAAGACUUGACGGUACUUCACACCAACCUAGAGGAGCCUGUCUAAUAACCGACAACCCACGAUUAACCCAACCACUACUAGCCCAACAGUCUAUAUACCGCCGUCGCCAGCUUACCUUAUGAAAGAAAAAAAGUAAGCCAAAUAACCCCACAUUAACACACAGGUCGAGGUGUAACUAAUGUAGCGGCUAAAGAUGGGCUACAUUUUCUAACCCAGAAUAAUCCACGAAUAGACUAUGAAAUUAGAAACUGAAGGCGGAUUUAGCAGUAAGAUAAGAAUAAAACACCUAUCCGAAGUUAAAGCAAUGAAGUGCGCACACACCGCCCGUCAUCCCUGCAAAACACACUAACCAUCCAUAAACAACCACCACCAUUAAAACAGGGCAAGUCGUAACAUGGUAAGCGUACUGGAAAGUGCGCUUAGAAACAAAAAGUAGCUUACACUAAAGCACUCGACUUACAAUCGAACGAUAUUAAUAAUAAUCUUUUUGAGCUAAUAUAGCGCAACAAACACAAAAAUCAUAAACCAAUAUAAACAAACCAUUUGACAAGCUAAGUAGUUG